rfam:Schistosoma mattheei strain Denwood, Zambia genome assembly, scaffold: SMTD_scaffold0014239
CCAAAGGUUUUUUGAAACCACAAUUAUUUAUAAUACCAUUUAAU